CGAGCUACCCCAACUUCAACUCCCCGAUAGCGCAAAGACUCAAACACGACACACACGAAUCAUAUUCAUGAUCCCUAUCCGGUAACGCCGUCUACGAUCUUUUAUGAGAACAAACUAAACCAACCUCGAGUCUGGAUAAGACAUGGAACGAUUGAUAUGAUUUCUUGAUCUGUUAGCCAUGAUUCACUACCACGAGACCACGACAAUGACAUGAACUAGACGAAGCGUCGACAAACCAACUGACAGCGCCUCGCAGCGCACACCACAAUGACUCAGAAGUGUAUGAUUUAUUGAACGCCAAUAACCCGGCUU
rnacentral:misc_RNA from 1 species